rnacentral:rRNA from 1 species
CAUGUCUUUUUGAUAAUAAUUUAAAGUCUGAUCUGCUCAAUGAUUAAUUAAAUUGCCGCAGUAUUCUAACUGUGCAAAGGUAGCAUAAUAAUUAGUUUUUUAAUUGAAAACUGGAAUGAAUGAUUGGACGAGAAAACUUCUGUCUCUUAUUAAUUUAAUUUUGAAUUUAAUUUUUAAGUUAAAAGGCUUAAAUAUUAUUUAAAGACGAGAAGACCCUAUAGAGUUUUAUUUUUUAUUUUUAAUUUUUUAUUUGUUAAUUGGUUAUUAAAUUGAGAUUGUAAAAUUUAAUUGGGGUGAUUAAAAAAUUUGAUUAACUUUUUUAUUUAUUUUUCAUUUAUACAUGAAUAUUUUACCUAAUUUUUUUAAGAUUAAUACAAAUUACCUUAGGGAUAACAGCGUUAUUUUUACUUGAAGUUCUUAUUUUAGUAAAAGAUUGCGACCUCGAUGUUGGAUUAAAAUUUACCUUUGGUGCAGUAGCUAAAGAUGUUAAGUCUGUUCGACUUUUAAAAUUUUACAUGAUCUGAGU